CAGUGCCAUUUUUGAAAACUGCUAUUAUACCGUCCUUUUUCAAUUGUUUUUCUUCUAAAACGCAGCAAACUUUCCUUUUAAACCUAAGUAUGGUAUCAGCCCAUUCCCUUAGGGCUUCAUUUAGCAUGCUGCCACUGACAAUAUAAUUAUUGGAGCCAUGAAAUCAAUUUACAGCUUCAAGAUCUCUCCUCUGACUUCGAUCUCAACGAAGCAAAGAAGUAUCCAUAGCGAAAUUGCAAAGUUCUAUGGGAGCACGGGACUACUGUAAGGUGGAGAAGGCCAUGCAGGUCUGGCAUGUUCCAAAAACUCCUAGUGCUGUUGAGAAUUUUGGGUGUAUUGGGCCUCGGGUUUUAGGGCUUAUAAUGGGUAUUGGAUCUCAAUGUUUGUAAAAGGGACAUUGGAUUUAUUUUUGUUAUUUUAUUUUAUUUUUCGUUUUA